AGCACAAUUGCUGGGUCAUAUGGUAAGGUAAUGUUUAGUUUUAUAAAAGCUGUCAAACUGUCUUCCAAAGUGACUCUACCAUUUUGCGUUCCCAUCAGCAAU
rnacentral:pre_miRNA from 1 species